AUAUUAUAUGGCCAUGAUGAGCUCCAUUCACUACGGACCGAAUCAGCGCUGCCCUCCUCCCUCUCUAAGCUGGAUAUCUUAAAUUGCCCUAAACUCCAAUCUCUUCCGGUAAAAGGGAUGCCCUCUUCCAUCUCUGUAUUAUCUAUUUUCGACUGCCCAUUGCUCGAACCACUCCUAGAAUUUGAGAAGGGGGAUUACUGGCCAAAUAUUGCUCAUAUUCCCACCAUAAGAGUCGAUUGGGAAUACCUGUGAUGAUUAAAACGAAGGUGUUCUAACAGAUAAAUCUUGUUGAGCAGUGUGAAGAGUCUAUUGCCAAUACGAGUCAUUUCUUGAAAAUAUUUAAGCUAUUACAACUCCUUACUCAGUUGGUGAAAGGAAAGUUGUGCUGAAAUUCUCUAUUGAAUAGGCAAUGACCUCAACUGUGAUCUGUCAUCAGAAUUAUGUAGCGUCUAUUUGCACUCUGAAGCCAAGGAAGCGUCUUUGCUCCAAAUGAAAUUUGAGUGAGUUGAGCAAGGAGGAGGUGGUUUAGAGUAAUGCACAUGUCCACUAUUGAAUGCGAAGUUCUAACAGAAUUCAAAGGAUUUGGGUAACAAUAUGCAAGCUAUUACCGCUCUUAGCUCCAUUGGUGACUGGAAAGUUGUGCUGACAUUCUCUAUCGAAUGGACAAUUACCUUGAAUGUGGUCUGUCAGCAAAGUGUUUUCUUCCAAACUAUCAUGACAAAUCACAAAGUAUUGUUUGACCGAACGGGAAAUAUGUUGCUAGAAGUCUGUCAAAUCGAUCAUUCCCUACAGAAGGUAAAUAUCAGCAUCAAGUAUGGUAUGUUUGGAUAACCAUCUCAAAUAUAAAGAAAACAUUCUGGCUGCAGUUGAAGUUUCACAUUAAAGGUCUGUUUCUCAGUUUGAGAAAUAAAAAAAGCUGUGCGAAUAUUAAGUCUUAUGUUGAGCAUUGACCGUUUGGCCUAAAAUUAAAGGAAUAGAUCAUGUCCUGUUUGUGCAUUUACAAUAUCAUCUUCUUUGUGACACAAACUUUACUAAAGGCGAGUACAUACUCAGGAUUGCUUUAAUCAGCAUUUAAAUUGAUUGACGAUCACCUCAUCUUGUAUGCUGACUGAAGUUCUGCCCUCUUAUUAACUUGCCUGCGAUAUCCUUUCCCUGGUAACUGGAUGCACUGCAAAGAAGAAGCAAAGGUUCUAAUACAACUGGUCAGAUAUAUGCAAAAGAUAAAAGGUCCAGAUAAAGGCAACCUCACUUUCUCAGUAAGGUAGCCAAAUUGAUAAGAUUGGAUAAGAUUUUCAUUGUCUGCUUCCGUUAUUUAAGCACGUGUUAUAUCAAAUUGAUUUCAAGUUGAUGCGACUGUAUUUGAUAGCACAGACUAAGAUUUUAUCAGUAUAGCACAAUAGUUAAAACAUCAGUUUUUGUUUUGAAUAUUCAGAGGUUUGGACUAUGGUCAAGCUUAACCAAGGUAUGGUUUGACAUCUGUACUUAUCAAUUUGACGAGUUAGGCUCAAGGUUCAUUUCAUCGCACAAAUAAAUGUAAUAUUGUUGCCGGUGGAUUGUUAAGAUAAUUAAUCAAAAUAGAACCAAUCCUUUAGUUGAAAUAAAGUAAAUUGAAGUUGAACUAGAUAAUGCAUCUCAUUCCUUUUCUAGUUUGGGGGCAUUUGGCUUUUGACUCGGAAGAGAAACAAGAUUAACCCUUUAGUUGUAGGGGGGAAACUGAUAAAAGUGUUUAUUUCUAAUCUCUACCAACUUUUACAGACUGCUUCAGCAAGUUAACUCAUGUUGUAAACUUUAUUUUAGGUUCUGCCAUAUGUAGCAAAGAGAAUAAAUAAGGAUCAAGCUUUGGCCGAUCAGUUGAGAAUAAUUACAACGGCUGGCCAAAUAUGAAAAAGAUAUGCACUAAUUCUAUAUAAAAUAUGUAUAUGAAAUAUUAAUAUACAAAAAAUAUACAUUUCCCGGCAGCUAUACAGUGUAGAUUUCCCAAAACGUUUCCAAGUCCAAUUAGCUUCAUCUCAUACUCUCCUUAGAAGAGAAAAAAUGGCCUCGUGCCUCACUAAAAUUGUAGUCGUCUUUGUUGUUGCUAUUCUUACUAGUUCUUGGAUGGCUCAAGCAGGCGAUCCAUAUAUCUUGACCGACUUCAUUGUUCCUAAAGAUCAGACUGGAGAGACAAUGGAUGGGAAUUUCUUCACCUUCACUGGCAUGCACGGAAGUUUUGGCAGCAUUAUCACAAACUUCAAAGUGACAAAAGCUAACAAGGCAAAAUUUCCAGCUUUACUUGCUGUCCUUCAGUUCUCUGGUACGGGUGUCAACCCGCCCCACACCCACCCUCGUGCAGCCGAGCUCUUAUUCAUGGUGCAAAGGAAUCUUCAGGUUGGUUUGAGGGACAGUACUAACAAGGUCUACACUCGGACUUUACAAUUCGGAGACUUGUUUCUGUUUCCAAAAGGACUAGUACAUUAUCAAUACAAUUGUGAUUGGAAUAAAUCAGCUAUAGCUGUUUCUGCAAUUGGUAGCGCAAAUGCUGGAACUGUUUAACUUCCUACAACAUGGUUUGCUACUACUGUCGAUGAUCAGAUUCUCGCGAAGUUAUUCAAGACUGAUGUUGUUACUGUUCAGAAGAUCAAGGCUGGUCUCUCAUCCUAGGAUCUCAUUUUACUCGUCGAAUUUCUAAAUAAAACUUCACCUCGGAAUUCAGUGCAAAAAAGAUUCAUAUGUAAUGUUUUCAUUCUUUCUUUCUUUGUUGGUAAUCUUAUCACUAUGAUAUUGGCUGUUCAUUUUCUAUUCA